AAUUCGGACAGGAUAUCAAGAUAACAUUGGUCACACCUGGCUAUGUUGAAUCAGAAAUGACACAAGGAAAAUUCAUAAACAAGACUGGCAAAGUGGAUGUUAAAACUCAAAUGAGGGAUGUAAGUUUGUGUUUUGUCUCUAUUCUCUCUCGAUUGCACAAAAUAUUGCAUGUUUGCAAUGACAUGAUUUGUUAGUUUCACAUGAACUUUUAUCAUUAAAUCAUGGUUAUAAAUUAAUAUAGUACAUUAUCACUUAAUGUAAUUUGGUGCAAACGUACCUGAUGUAGGUAGAUUUUUUUCUCCACCAUCACUCGAGAAACCCUGCGUGAUGAACUUGCUAAGUCCUAGAUAUUAAGAUGUACACUUAUUCUAGAUAGUGAAUUUAGAUAUUAUUUUAGCGAACCGACUACAUUUUUUAUUCAGGUAUGGAGAUUGACUGUAAAUUGAACUUAAUUCUUUGUGGGUAUAAUAGAUUGUAGUGUAAGUUUCAAUUCCAGUUAUAUUUCAGGAUACUUGACUUUAAAUUAAAAACUUAAAGUUUACGUGAUAGUAAUGAUUUUCGCUGUCCCCAGUUGGGGAACUGGCUACAAAAUGAAUCACGGUGUCAUGAGUUUAAUUUGUGUUUACUGAAUAAACUAGGUUCAAGUGGGCAUAAUCCCAGUAGUCAAAGUAGAAGAAUGUGCCAAAACCAUCGUUAAUGGGGCUUGUCGCGGAGAGAGAUAUGUUACUGUGCCAUCUUGGGUCAGGGUCACCUACUUGUGGAAGGUUUUCUGCCCAGAAGUUGUUGACUGGAUUUUGAGGCUGUUGUGCCUUACCGGUUCGGGAACUUCGCCCAGAAAGAAAAUAUUGGAUUACAGUGGUGUCCAGAAAGUCUUGUACCCAGAAAAUAUCAAGGAACUGGAACCCAAAACCAACUGAUGCCAAAGUUUGACCUUCACAACCUAUAAGUUUGCAGUCUGUUUGUUUCUCUGUUACAUGAAACUUUUAGUUUGGAGUAUUGUAAUUAUCAGUCAAAGAUAGGUACUGAUGCUGUCUUUUUGUAUCCCCCUUCUUUCACACAGUUGUCAGGAAAAAAAAAACAGAUUAACAGAAUAAAUUUCUGGGUAUAUAUGCCCCAAUUAAGUCAUAGGUCAACUUUUAACAUCAUAGUGCAAAAGAUUUACAUUGUAGUGCAAAAAAAAUACUAGUUACUAGCUGGCACAGAAUUUAAAUUUCUUGCAUUCCUCUUCUAUUUUUGUUUAAAUAGUGUUCCCUUCAAGGAUUCCUUAGAUCCUCUCUAAUGAAAUAGUGUUAAAAUAGUGUUCCUCUUCUUCUAUUUUUCUCUAAUGGUGUAUGGCACGGAAGAAAGCAUCCGAGACCUAGAGCCUGUUUGGAUUGGCUUAAAAAAAUAGUUUUUAAGUAAUAAAUAAUUUUUUAGCCAAAAAAUAAUAAGUUAUGGUUGCCUAGUUUAUUGUUUUUGAUUUGUUUUAAGUAGUUUUUAAUUUAUUUUAAGUAUUUUUUAACUUUGUCAAAUACUUAAAGAAAUUAAAAAGAGUUUAAAGAUGAUUUGACCAUCUUAAAAGUCAAUCAAAAUACCUUCCUGAACACAUCGUUCUACAAACCAUUAAAUUUUGCGAGUCGAAAAAGAAUAACUGAAAGGAAGGUAAUUGAUUAGUUAUUCGUCGAAUUAGUUUCAAACAAAAAUUCGUUUAUUUGCAUCAAGUUUUCACUUUUCUUCUACCCCUUCUCAUGAACUUAACCUGUGCUCGGAGGAUAGUUGUUCGUACACCAUUCCUUGUACAGAUUCUCGAGAAAAGAAGAGCCAUGGGGCUCAUUCAAGACUUACUUUUUCUUUUAUUCCUUUUCGGGAAUUAACCUAUGCUCGAGGGAUAGUUAUUCUUACACCAUUCCUUAUAUAGAUUCUCGAGAAGAGAGGAGCUCUUCUGAUCUUGAUCCCGCAGGUGAAUCGAAAGUUGGCUUUUGUAUUGGAACACACUGAGUCGUCUAAUUGUUAAUCCAAUUUAAUUUCAUAUGUGGUUAUUAAAGAACUUCAAUAUUUAGAGUCCGUUUGGACAUAAGAAAAAUUUUACUUUUUUUAAAAAAAAAAAUUCACUUUUUUCCGAAAUCAGUGUUUGGCCAUAAAUUUUUAAAUUUUCAAAUUUUCAAUUGAACAUGAAUUUUGGAAUUUUUCGAAAAUUUGAAAAACUCCAAAAAGUUAUUUUUCAAAAUUUUCACUCAGAUCACUCACAAAACUUCAAAAAUAACCCAAAAUUAUAUUCAUGUCCAAACACAACUCUAGUUUUCAAAUAUCAUUUUCACUUGAUUUUUUUCGAAAUUUUAUCAUUCUUAUGUCCAAACGCCCACUUAUUAUUUGCAUUUUCAAAAUCUCAACCAAUCGUGCCGAAAAGACAGGGAGGCUCUAAGGUAAGGCAGAUGAGGCCCUUGCCUUAGGCCCCCAAAUAUUAAGGGCCCCAAAAUUAUAAAAUACUACUAGUAUAUUAGUAUUAUAUACAACAUAUAAUUUAUAAAAUUAUUAUUAACAAAAGAUUUCAAUUUUAUAUUUUUUAAAAUUUGAUUGAGGUUGUAUGACUAAGUGAGCAAAUAAUCAUAAAUUUUCUCCUUUAUUAAAUUAAUUAAAUGGUAUAUUUACCUUCUCAUCAAUUCUAAUUUUUUUCUUUAUGUACACUUUCUUCUUCAUGUUUUUGACGAUUUCACUCUUUAAUUUCAACUCUGAUUCUCUAAAUUAUCUAUAUUUUUUUUUGCCAUAUUUGAUUGAUCCAUACAUCAGAAAGUAAGUUCUUUUAUAUCUUAUCUUUUUUAGCUAAAAAAUUCCCGAGGGCUACGGCACAAAAUUUGAAUUGAUGGAUAAUAAGUCCACAAUUCUGCCUUUUUCACUUAAAUAUCAUGCCAUUGUCCAGAGGAGAGUUCGAAAUUGUGAUGUGAGCCAAACCUUAUCACGUGUUGCACACUUACCACUAGAUCAAAGUCAUGUAGGAUUCUUUUGUGUCUCAUUAUAAUAAUAUGAAAUUUAUAAAAAUUUAUUUUGACUUUAGGCCACAAAAUUCCAUGAGUCUGCGAAAGAUAAAAGAAGUAAGUAGCAGGAACCGAUUUCUUUUCAUUGCAAAACUGAGACAAAUAUUGUGCAUGGAAAAUGUCAGCAAAAUAUUGCUACUUUUUAGUUGUGCGCCCGUCGACGAACUACAAGAUUACACCUGCUUCAUACUUAAGUAAGAAUUCGAAGAUGCAGUAUUUCUUUAAGCUUAGUCCGAAUCUUUUCGAGGCCAUAUCUCGUUCCUUAAUCCCCUGCAUAUAUGUAUCAAUGCGCUUUCUUGUUUGUUCUACAAAUCAUGGUGCUCAAACCAUUAUUCAUUCUCCAAAAAAUGAAAAGAGAAACAAAAGCUAAAUGCUCCUGUCACUUGUAAAUCAUUAGCAAACGCUAUACCGAAACAGAAAGUAAUUCAAUCGUUAUCAUACCUACACGAUCGACAUUCUUGAUAUUAUGGCAUACCCUUUCAAUAUGUGACUAGGGCAUAUCUACGUAUAUGGAUAUGAGCUCAUGUGAAUCCAUGCUCCUCUCCCUAGACUAUGUAUAAUUAUGCGAUAUUUCUUCAAAUUACUUAAAUAUAUAUGUGUACAUUCAAGCUCAAAGAGUCUUAUGAAUCAAUAAUUAUUAGAUGCAUCUUUAAGUGAAAUCGGCAUAUAUGUUAUUUUUUCUUUCUUUUUUCUAGAAUUAGUCCACCCACGGGGAUGAACAUGUCUUGCGUCUACCCAACUUCAAACCACUUUAUAGUAUACAUUUCAUUAACUAAAUGAAACACUACUUAAUAGAAACUAACCAACAAUUGCCUUCGUUUGUGUGUACGAAAAAUGAGGCCAUCAAUAUAUUGUGACAUUCAGUUCUGCCGCCACAACGAACUACCUAGUAAGACCUGCAUAAUACCACAUUUCCUUACUUAAAAAUCACAAAGAUACGGUUUUCCUUUUAUGUUUGUCCGAAUCUUUUGGGGCCAUUUCUCGUCCCUUAACCAAAAAAGUACUAAUCCCUUUCCCCUCCAUCUGGAUUAGUGCUCUGUCUUGUUUUUCCUGCAAAUCAUAACACAGAGUGGUGCUCCAAUUCAUUUUCCUAAUCUGAAAAAGGAGAGACAAAAGAAGAAUGUACCUUUUUAAUCACUUGAAUAUGAUUGGAGAAUGCUAAUCCUUGUAAAUUAAAAUAUUUCAAUCCUUUGUCCAAGCGUCACUUCAAUCACCAAUCAGGUAAGCCCGCCAAUCGAAUUCGUGCACGUGGAAAAGUACAUGAAAUCGCCCAAACGUUUUUUUCUUUAUUGAAUUAGAGGUUAUAGUAACAUGGCAGGAAAUAAGGAUAGUGCUAUGCAUACUUCAUGCUUUAACUUUGUUAAAUGCUAAGAGUGGAAUACAAUAUUAUGAUAUUGCAUUUAAUUAAUACUAAGAGCGGAAUAAAAAAUUAUAGUGCUGCAUUUAGUUAAAUACAAAGAGUGGAAUACACUAUAUAUUAUGGUAACCGCAUUUAGUUAAUUGCCAAGAGUGGAAUACAAUAUUAUGGUACGCAUUUAAGAGUGGAAUAUAAUAUUAUGGUACUGUAUUUAGUUAAAAACUAAGAGUAGAAUACAAUAUUAUGGUACUGCAUUUAGUAAAUACGAAGAAUGGACUACAAUAUUAUGGUAACCGCAUUUAGUUAAAUACAAAGAGUGGAAUACAAUAUUAUGGUACUGCAUUUAAGAGUGGAAUACACUGUUAUGGUACAUCAUUUAAUUAAGUACCAAGAGUGGAAUACACUAUUUGUGGUACUGCAUUUAGUUAAGUAAUAGAAUAUUGAUUUCCCACUUAAUGGGGGGAAUCAACAGACUGAAUUUUUUUUUACUAUAAAUACACAUGAAAACUCAUCUAUAUGCAGUACUUCAUAUGCAAAUACCAGAAACAGAAAUUAAAACUAGUAAGAACCGGAAAUUAAGGCAAUGAAGCAGAUUAGUGGAGCACCAUUUCUGCUAAUCGUGGUGAUUAUGGCGAUUGGGGUCUUAAUUUGGGCUCCAAAAAAUGUGGAGAGUGCCUUUGGAAUUGACAUAAAUCCGUGCACAGUUCCUGAAUGUGUAGCUGCAUGCAAAAAGAUUUUGCAGGAGAAAUACCAAAGUGCGACAUGUGCAACGGGGCCUAGAGGAAAAUACUGUAUCUGCUUGGGUUGAUACUUUAUAAGUAUUUAAACUCCAAAUUACUAUAUAAUUAAAGAGUGAUCUUCAGAAUACAGCUUCUUCUAAUCCACUUCUCUUCAUAUUGCAUUGCAUUUCUGUGUACUGUACGUUAUAGUUAAGCCACUCGCUAUUCCGUAAAUCUAUUUCUGGGUGAUAAUCAAAGACCUCGUUAAUGUAAUUAAAUGGCUAUUUCAAUAGAAAACAUUCUUG
rnacentral:lncRNA from 1 species